UACGUAGGGAGCAAGCGUUGUCCGGAUUUACUGGGUGUAAAGGGUGCGUAGGCGGCUUAGCAAGUCAGAAGUGAAAUCCAUGGGCUUAACCCAUGAACUGCUCUUGAAACUGUUGAGCUUGAGUGGAGUAGAGGUAGGCGGAAUUCCCGGUGUAGCGGUGAAAUGCGUAGAGAUCGGGAGGAACACCAGUGGCGAAGGCGGCCUACUGGGCUCUAACUGACGCUGAGGCACGAAAGCGUGGGUAGCAAACAGG
rnacentral:rRNA from 1 species